rnacentral:rRNA from 1 species
UACGGGGGGGGCAAGCGUUGUUCGGAAUUACUGGGCGUAAAGGGCUCGUAGGUGGCCAACUAAGUCAGACGUGAAAUCCCUCGGCUUAACCGGGGAACUGCGUCUGAUACUGGAUGGCUUGAGUUCGGGAGAGGGAUGCGGAAUUCCAGGUGUAGCGGUGAAAUUCGUAGAUAUCGGGAGGAAUACCAGUGGCGAAGGCGCUGACCUGGACGAAAGAUUGACGCUGAGGUGCGAAAGCGCGGGGAGCAAACAGG